rnacentral:rRNA from 1 species
GAUGAACGCUGGCGGCGUGCCUAAUACAUGCAAGUCGAGCGAACAGACGAGGAGCUUGCUCCUCUGACGUUAGCGGCGGACGGGUGAGUAACACGUGGAUAACCUACCUAUCAGACUGGGAUAACUUCGGGAAACCGGAGCUAAUACCGGAUAAUAUAUUGAACCGCAUGGUUCAAUAGUGAAAGACGGUUUUGCUGUCACUUAUAGAUGGAUCUGCGCCGCAUUAGCUAGUUGGUAAGGUAACGGCUUACCAAGGCAACGAUGCGUAGCCGACCUGAGAGGGUGAUCGGCCACACUGGAACGGAGACACGGUCCAGACUCCUACGGGAGGCAGCAGUAGGGAAUCUUCCGCAAUGGGCGAAAGCCUGACGGAGCAACGCCGCGUGAGUGAUGAAGGUCUUCGGAUCGUAAAACUCUGUUAUUAGGGAAGAACAAAUGUGUAAGUAACUAUGCACGUCUUGACGGUACCUAAUCAGAAAGCCACGGCUAACUACGUG